GGGUUGUGAGGUUAAGCGACUAAGCGUACACGGUGGAUGCCCUGGCAGUCAGAGGCGAUGAAGGACGUGCUAAUCUGCGAUAAGCGUCGGUAAGGUGAUAUGAACCGUUAUAACCGGCGAUUUCCGAAUGGGGAAACCCAGUGUGUUUCGACACACUAUCAUUAACUGAAUCCAUAGGUUAAUGAGGCGAACCGGGGGAACUGAAACAUCUAAGUACCCCGAGGAAAAGAAAUCAACCGAGAUUCCCCCAGUAGCGGCGAGCGAACGGGGAGCAGCCCAGAGCCUGAAUCAGUGUGUGUGUUAGUGGAAGCGUCUGGAAAGGCGCGCGAUACAGGGUGACAGCCCCGUACACAAAAAUGCACAUACUGUGAGCUCGAUGAGUAGGGCGGGACACGUGGUAUCCUGUCUGAAUAUGGGGGGACCAUCCUCCAAGGCUAAAUACUCCUGACUGACCGAUAGUGAACCAGUACCGUGAGGGAAAGGCGAAAAGAACCCCGGCGAGGGGAGUGAAAAAGAACCUGAAACCGUGUACGUACAAGCAGUGGGAGCACGCUUAGGCGUGUGACUGCGUACCUUUUGUAUAAUGGGUCAGCGACUUAUAUUCUGUAGCAAGGUUAACCGAAUAGGGGAGCCGAAGGGAAACCGAGUCUUAACUGGGCGUUAAGUUGCAGGGUAUAGACCCGAAACCCGGUGAUCUAGCCAUGGGCAGGUUGAAGGUUGGGUAACACUAACUGGAGGACCGAACCGACUAAUGUUGAAAAAUUAGCGGAUGACUUGUGGCUGGGGGUGAAAGGCCAAUCAAACCGGGAGAUAGCUGGUUCUCCCCGAAAGCUAUUUAGGUAGCGCCUCGUGAAUUCAUCUCCGGGGGUAGAGCACUGUUUCGGCAAGGGGGUCAUCCCGACUUACCAACCCGAUGCAAACUGCGAAUACCGGAGAAUGUUAUCACGGGAGACACACGGCGGGUGCUAACGUCCGUCGUGAAGAGGGAAACAACCCAGACCGCCAGCUAAGGUCCCAAAGUCAUGGUUAAGUGGGAAACGAUGUGGGAAGGCCCAGACAGCCAGGAUGUUGGCUUAGAAGCAGCCAUCAUUUAAAGAAAGCGUAAUAGCUCACUGGUCGAGUCGGCCUGCGCGGAAGAUGUAACGGGGCUAAACCAUGCACCGAAGCUGCGGCAGCGACACUAUGUGUUGUUGGGUAGGGGAGCGUUCUGUAAGCCUGUGAAGGUGUACUGUGAGGUAUGCUGGAGGUAUCAGAAGUGCGAAUGCUGACAUAAGUAACGAUAAAGCGGGUGAAAAGCCCGCUCGCCGGAAGACCAAGGGUUCCUGUCCAACGUUAAUCGGGGCAGGGUGAGUCGACCCCUAAGGCGAGGCCGAAAGGCGUAGUCGAUGGGAAACAGGUUAAUAUUCCUGUACUUGGUGUUACUGCGAAGGGGGGACGGAGAAGGCUAUGUUGGCCGGGCGACGGUUGUCCCGGUUUAAGCGUGUAGGCUGGUUUUCCAGGCAAAUCCGGAAAAUCAAGGCUGAGGCGUGAUGACGAGGCACUACGGUGCUGAAGCAACAAAUGCCCUGCUUCCAGGAAAAGCCUCUAAGCAUCAGGUAACAUCAAAUCGUACCCCAAACCGACACAGGUGGUCAGGUAGAGAAUACCAAGGCGCUUGAGAGAACUCGGGUGAAGGAACUAGGCAAAAUGGUGCCGUAACUUCGGGAGAAGGCACGCUGAUAUGUAGGUGAAGUCCCUCGCGGAUGGAGCUGAAAUCAGUCGAAGAUACCAGCUGGCUGCAACUGUUUAUUAAAAACACAGCACUGUGCAAACACGAAAGUGGACGUAUACGGUGUGACGCCUGCCCGGUGCCGGAAGGUUAAUUGAUGGGGUUAGCGCAAGCGAAGCUCUUGAUCGAAGCCCCGGUAAACGGCGGCCGUAACUAUAACGGUCCUAAGGUAGCGAAAUUCCUUGUCGGGUAAGUUCCGACCUGCACGAAUGGCGUAAUGAUGGCCAGGCUGUCUCCACCCGAGACUCAGUGAAAUUGAACUCGCUGUGAAGAUGCAGUGUACCCGCGGCAAGACGGAAAGACCCCGUGAACCUUUACUAUAGCUUGACACUGAACAUUGAGCCUUGAUGUGUAGGAUAGGUGGGAGGCUUUGAAGUGUGGACGCCAGUCUGCAUGGAGCCGACCUUGAAAUACCACCCUUUAAUGUUUGAUGUUCUAACGUUGACCCGUGAUCCGGGUUGCGGACAGUGUCUGGUGGGUAGUUUGACUGGGGCGGUCUCCUCCUAAAGAGUAACGGAG
rnacentral:rRNA from 1 species